rnacentral:hammerhead_ribozyme from 1 species
GUCCAACUGACGAGUCCCAAAUGGGAGGAAACGCUCGUACUUGAU